CUACGGGAGGCAGCAGUGAGGAAUAUUGGUCAAUGGGGGCAACCCUGAACCAGCGACGCCGCGUGAAGGAUGACAGGGCUUUGCCCCGUAAACUUCUGUCGGGAGGGAAAAAAGGACUGUUUGGCGGUCUGGGAUUGUACCUCUAAAGGAAGCACCGGCUAACUACGUGCCAGCAGCCGCGGUAAUACGUAGGGUGCAAACGUUGUCCGGAAUUACUGGGUGUAAAGGGUGCACAGGCGGUUUUGUGCGUCAGAGGUAAAAUCCCACAGCUCAACUGUGGACCUGCCUUUGAUACGGCAAGACUUGAGUACAAGAGAGGAUAAUAGAAUUCCUGGUGUAGCGGUGAAAUGCGUAGAUAUCAGGAGGAAUACCAGUGGCGAAGGCGGUCACCUGGCUUGUAACUGACGCUUAAGCACGAAAGCAUGGGUAGCGAACAGGAUUAGAUACCCUCGUAGUC
rnacentral:rRNA from 1 species